CAGGCCUAACACAUGCAAGUCAAACGCCCCGCAAGGGGAGUGGCAGACGGGUGAGUAACACGUGGGAACGUACCCUUUGGUUCGGAACAACCCUGGGAAACUAGGGCUAAUACCGGAUACGCGCGAGAGCGGAAAGGUUUACCGCCGAAGGAUCGGCCCGCGUCUGAUUAGCUAGUUGGUGAGGUAACGGCUCACCAAGGCGACGAUCAGUAGCUGGUCUGAGAGGAUGAUCAGCCACAUUGGGACUGAGACACGGCCCAAACUCCUACGGGAGGCAGCAGUGGGGAAUAUUGGACAAUGGGCGCAAGCCUGAUCCAGCCAUGCCGCGUGAGUGAUGACGGCCCUAGGGUUGUAAAGCUCUUUUACCUGGGAAGAUAAUGACGGUACCAGGAGAAUAAGCCCCGGCUAACUUCGUGCCAGCAGCCGCGGUAAU
rnacentral:rRNA from 1 species